UACGGAGGAUGCGAGCGUUAUCCGGAUUUAUUGGGUUUAAAGGGUGCGUAGGCGGGUUAUCAAGUCAGCGGUAAAAUCGUGGAGCUCAACUCCAUCCAGCCGUUGAAACUGAUGAUCUUGAGUGGGCGAGAAGUAUGCGGAAUGCGUGGUGUAGCGGUGAAAUGCAUAGGUAUCACGCAGAACUCCGAUUGCGAAGGCAGCAUACCGGCGCCCGACUGACGCUGAAGCACGAAAGCGUGGGUAUCGAACAGG
rnacentral:rRNA from 1 species